UGACUGACCGAUAGUGAACCAGUACCGUGAGGGAAAGGCGAAAAGAACCCCGGCGAGGGGAGUGAAAAAGAACCUGAAACCGUGUACGUACAAGCAGUGGGAGCACAGGUUUACCUGUGUGACUGCGUACCUUUUGUAUAAUGGGUCAGCGACUUAUAUUCUGUAGCAAGGUUAACCGAAUAGGGGAGCCGGAGGGAAACCGAGUCUUAAUUGGGCGUUAAGUUGCAGGGUAUAGACCCGAAACCCGGUGAUCUAGCCAUGGGCAGGUUGAAGGUUGGGUAACACUAACUGGAGGACCGAACCGACUAAUGUUGAAAAAUUAGCGGAUGACCUGUGGCUGGGGGUGAAAGGCCAAUCAAACCGGGAGAUAGCUGGUUCUCCCCGAAAGCUAUUUAGGUAGCGCCUCGUGAAUUCAUCUCCGGGGGUAGAGCACUGUUUCGGCUAGGGGGCCAUCCCGGCUUACCAACCCGAUGCAAACUGCGAAUACCGGAGAAUGUUAUCACGGGAGACACACGGCGGGUGCUAACGUCCGUCGUGAAGAGGGAAACAACCCAGACCGCCAGCUAAGGUCCCAAAGUCAUGGUUAAGUGGGAAACGAUGUGGGAAGGCCCAGACAGCCAGGAUGUUGGCUUAGAAGCAGCCAUCAUUUAAAGAAAGCGUAAUAGCUCACUGGUCGAGUCGGCCUGCGCGGAAGAUGUAACGGGGCUAAACCAUG
rnacentral:rRNA from 1 species